UACGGCGAGUGAGCGGCAAAAGCUCAAAUUUGAAAUCUGGCACCUUCGGUGUCCGAGUUGUAAUUUGAAGAAGGUAACUUUGGAGUUGGCUCUUGUCUAUGUUCCUUGGAACAGGACGUCACAGAGGGUGAGAAUCCCGUGCGAUGAGAUGCCCAAUUCUAUGUAAAGUGCUUUCGAAGAGUCGAGUUGUUUGGGAAUGCAGCUCUAAGUGGGUGGUAAAUUCCAUCUAAAGCUAAAUAUUGGCGAGAGACCGAUAGCGAACAAGUACAGUGAUGGAAAGAUGAAAAGAACUUUGAAAAGAGAGUGAAAAAGUACGUGAAAUUGUUGAAAGGGAAGGGCUUGAGAUCAGACUUGGUAUUUUGCGAUCCUUUCCUUCUUGGUUGGGUUCCUCGCAGCUUACUGGGCCAGCAUCAGUUUGGAUGGUAGGAUAAUGACUAAGGAAUGUGGCUCUACUUCGGUGGAGUGUUAUAGCCUUGGUUGAUACUGCCUGUCUAGACCGAGGACUGCGUCUUUGACUAGGAUGUUGGCAUAAUGAUCUUAAGCCACCCGUCUUGAA
rnacentral:rRNA from 1 species